UUUCAAAAACUAAAUCAAAGCAUCUGUGUUCAUUUAAAGUUUUAAACUAAAGGAUCUGUGAAAAAAGAAAAGCAUAUUUUAACCCACCUAAAAUGGGAGAGUAGCAAUUAAUGUACCGCAAGUCUCUAGCAUGAUUGGCUUUUCGGUUGGGAGAAAAACGAUCUGAACCUAGAGGAUCAGAAAAUGUAUCGAUCUCAAUGAAUAGGUAAAUUUGAGCAUGAAUUCAAGCUUUUAUUCUAAAGUCAACAAUCAUCAACUCACCUUCACGAGCUCGAAUUGAAGAUUUGCAGAUCGGCUGCUAUGUGGUUGAAGGAGGGCUGGUAGUGGUGGUGAUGUUCGGUUUUAGCAGCGGUGGUGACAGGGUAGGUGGUGGCGAUGACAACAGGUGGUGUUGGUGCGAAGAUGAUGAUGGUUGGUGGGGUGGGUGGUGGCGAUGGCAGUAGGUGGUGGUGACUGGUGGUGGUGAUAGGAGGGUGAGCUGAGAAACAGAGAGAGAGAGAGAAGGGUUUUUAUGUAUAUAUAAUUGAUUUUUAUUUUUUUAUUUUUUUAGUUAUUUACAGAGUCAGUCCUUGAAAACAUGAAAUGACAGACCUACCCUUCUGUGUAGGGCACAUUACUAGAUUUAACAAAUAAAAUUAACUGAGUUAGGGACAAA